UACGUAGGGGGCAAGCGUUUGUCCGGAAUUAUUGGGCGUAAAGCGCGCGCAGGCGGUUCAGUAAGUUGGAUGUUUAAAGCCGGGGCUCAACCCCGGUGCGCAUCCAAAACUGGUGGACUUGAGUGUAGGAGAGGAAAGUGGAAUUCCACGUGUAGCGGUGAAAUGCGUAGAGAUGCGGAGGAACACCAGUGGCGAAAGCGACUUUCUGGUCCUUAACUGACGCUGAGGCGCGAAAGCAUGGGGAGCGAACGGG
rnacentral:rRNA from 1 species